GCCACCGUAGCUCAGUUGGCAGAGCAUUUGACUUGUAAUCAGAGGGUCGUGGGUUCGAGUCCCACCGGUGGCU
rnacentral:tRNA from 1 species